CCGCUACGAGCGGCGAGAGUUCCACAACCCGAUGGAACGUCCGCUUCUGCCCGCCUCCGGAAGCGCGAGCGAACGAGCGUACCACGCGUGUACGUGGAUCACCGCGGAUUCUCGCUGCUGUGCCGCCGCCAACUGAACGCAUUCGUUGGAUUCUGUCGACCGGUCAUCGAGUUCCCGAGUCGUUUCGUUCGAAGCAGCUGAACCCGGUUACGAUCGGUUUUAGAUUAGGGAGAAGCUUAGAAUUUCCAGAGCAAUUUCAAGGUUUGGAAUGCUUUGGCAUUGGGAUAGGGAAACUUGGGACUGAUGACAAUUCGGAUUCGAGGGCGGAGUAGAAGGAGAAGAUUAAAGGAUACGACCUAGAGGGGAGGUAGAUCCCGGCGGAGAAAAAACUCGAAACGAGAAUUCGCCUGGGGACGAACUUUUCGCCAAUCUAACGAAGCCACUCGGUUAAGCGGAUUAUUUUCGUCGGCUGACUAGACCGGGGAAACACAUCCGUUACAUGCCGCGCGAUAAACUUCUCCUCCAGGCGAGGACUCAAUAAAUCAAUUAAUUGACCGUGCUCGAAUAAUCGAAUAAAAGCAAGUAGAAGAACGUAGAAAACAAUGAUCGUCUGCAAUGAUCGGGGUGGGAAGCCAAUCUCCGCUCGACGGAGCAAGAGAAGAUCUCCUGGAGCUGGAAAAUCCCUUAUUACUCGGACUGUCGAAAGUGGAACUACGACGAAAAAGGCCAAGCAAUCGGAGCAGCGAGUUUACGUGGCGCAACGGUCUCCAGCUCGAAUUACAACACUCGUUACUCGAACCACCAGCGUCUCAAGUUCCGGGGUGCACUUUUAAUGAGUUUUCCGGCCACGGUCAAUUAGUCUCGUACUCCGAGGCUCGUGGAUUUCCAACGCGUGGAUCGUUCGACCGAUCCACCAGGAAUAUAUAUACCAGGAAUGUAUAUACCACCAUUCAUAAGUGCAAUAGGCUGUACUAACGAACGAUUCUACGAUAAGCGAACGUUAUAAUAAUAAUAAACAGUUCUUACGACUAACGUCAGUAAUGAAUUACUUAUAAUUGUAAGUGGGACAGCUAUUAGAUUGUUAAUCAUCAUCUCUUUUCAUUUGUAGAAAUAAUUUUGUUUAAUUAUCAGUUUACUGGUUCUUUAACACUCCGACGACCGUACAUUUUGACGUACUAUUACUACCAACCACCUGCAAUUUUUACUCAAUCUAGUAUCGUAUAAUUAUGAUAGGUAAAUUUUAUGAGAAAAUUCAUCAUCAUUAUUGGAUCUUCAUCCAAUUAUCCUAAUUUAUUUUCUACACUUAUGCAUUAUAUGAAUUUAUUUAUUUAACUCAUGAUUGUCUCAUACAGUUACAGAAAUUGGAAUUAUAAUCAUUUUCUGACCAUUCACUUUUGCUGGAUCAUUAGAGUUAGAAACAGUCCAGUAUUUUUCCAGGCUUUUCAGUUCACUUGUAAAUCGUUUCACUUCAAUAAAACACUAUCAAAUACAGGAAUCAUUUGUCUCGCACGUAAGUUGCAAUUAGAAAAAAACUGAAGUCACGCGAACAUGACGGUGAUCGACAACAGAUAGCGGAGCGAAAUCACGUUUAUAUGAUGCUGAUCGUCAAAGUGUUAAUAAUCCUUUAACAUAAUAUAAAAAUAUUCUUCUUGGUUAUAAUAUUUCAUCAUGUAAUAUCAGCAAAUCACAGUCUUUCAUCUUACAGUAACAAUGAAGUUUGAAAGUGUUUCAUAUAACAAAAGUUUUCUAUGAUAAAUGCUAUAAUAUCGAAACGAAAUUCUCUCGUGAAAACGCGGUUGCCAUUCACGAACACUUUCCGCGUUUAUGACGCUCUCGAAGAUAACGCGCAGCGCGGCGUUUAUACGUCACUUUUGGAAAUUGCCGCGAGUCUCAGAGGAACGUUUUAGUUUCGCGAAGUUGGAGAUUUUUAUUGCGGCUGUGCGCACGUCGACGAGCCCUCGACGGCGUUAAGUGGGACUUCAGAAGCGAGCUGUAACGUAAACGCCCGCCAACCCCGAACCAUGUUACCCCCUUUUAUUUAGGGCGCGAGAAGAUUCAUGGCAAAUGUUUUCGGACUGUCGCUUCUACGACACGCUUUAUGUUAUUGUUCUAUGCAUUUCCUGGUGUGUCAUCCUGUGAUUCACUGGGGUGAAUCUGCUCUGUGUAGAGCGGUUCGUCGAUUAAUGAUUUUUGUCUUCUUAAAGGUAGUUUUGAUCAUCUGUACAUGAAGAAUGAAUUUGAAGCAUUUUAAUGCUUUUUUUUUGGUAUCAUCUAAUGUAAUCCUGAUUAUUUUUAUUCAUAUUGCGAAUAAAGGAAACUUCCAUUAAAAGUACGUACGAUUCUCAUAUAUAAUAUUUUGUACGUAUGAAACAACUAAUACUACAAUUAAUGUUAGCCAUCCAUUCUACUGCGAGCCCUCAAAACAACCACAUAAACCUCACUCUCCUACCAUCCAAAACGCAAAACACCCAAGGUCGUGGUACACUGCAGAAUUCAUCUACAUAACAGGCGAUUACGCAUAAAGUUCCGUUUAUUCACGCAUUUGAUUGUGGGAUUCGCGGUGGCCCACAGUGGACAUACGGAAAAACGUUGGCCAGACCACAGAAUAGACGUAGAGAAUGUUUCCAUUCGAUUGGCCGGCUAAUUGCAAGUGCGAUCGAUGCUCGCUCUAAUCGUCGAUUGGAAAUUCCUCUUAAUAUACUUUUUUUGAAUCCUAAAAGCAAUCUUCUAUUAUUGGAUUAAAACCUAACAAGACGAAAGCUUAUGGAUAACUAUAACUGUU